rnacentral:rRNA from 1 species
GAUGAACGCUGGCGGCGUGCCUAAUACAUGCAAGUAGAACGCUGAAGGAAGGAGCUUGCUCUUUCCGGAUGAGUUGCGAACGGGUGAGUAACGCGUAGGUAACCUGCCUGGUAGCGGGGGAUAACUAUUGGAAACGAUAGCUAAUACCGCAUAACAGUAGAUGUUGCAUGAUAUCUACUUAAAAGGUGAAAUUGCACCACUACCAGAAGGACCUGCGUUGUAUUAGCUAGUUGGUGAGGUAACGGCUCACCAAGGCGACGAUACAUAGCCGACCUGAGAGGGUGAUCGGCCACACUGGGACUGAGACACGGCCCAGACUCCUACGGGAGGCAGCAGUAGGGAAUCUUCGGCAAUGGACGGAAGUCUGACCGAGCAACGCCGCGUGAGUGAAGAAGGUUUUCGGAUCGUAAAGCUCUGUUGUAAGAGAAGAACGAGUGUGAGAGUGGAAAGUUCACACUGUGACGGUAUCUUACCAGAAAGGGACGGCUAACUACGUG